CAGCAGGAAAACAACAGCACAAGAUGAGGAUGAUAGCAAUCCUCUACUGGGAAGUGGGGAAGCAGAGUUUUCCUCCAAAGUGACACACUCAGGAAACUUCGGAGAAGACUGUAGAUUAGUACUUCUGGGAGGUGAUGACUUUGCAAAGCAUGAGGCGUGCAGGUUCAUACUUAGAAAUGGACAGACCCAACAAACAUCUGAUGUAGAAUGGUGGGUGGUGAAGGAGAACUAUGUCCAGAGAAGACAUGUCACUGUGGCAAUUAGUCCUUCCUCGUGGUUGGAAAGCUUGAGAUCAUCUUUCUUUUUGUCCACGGGAAUCAAAAGAAUAAAAAAUGACAUACAGAAGUGUGUAUCAGUGGUGUUUCCAGGACC